GUGGGGGGUCACAGGUGAGGUGGCAGGGUGAGAGGGGGUGACCUCACCCUGUCACCCCCUCUCACCCUGUCACCCCCUCUCACCCUGCCACCUCACCUGUGACCCCCCACAC
rnacentral:miRNA from 1 species